CCCCUUGCUGUCUGAACCUAUCUGUUGUGUCUCACCUAAUACUUAGGUAGCAAGUUCUGUAAGAAAUUAUUCAAAAAACAUCACUUUGUUUUGUAUUUUAGGUGACUCCUGACCAUGAAGUUCUGGUUGACAACUUGGGCUGCUCUGCUAGCGUUACUGUCACUGUGCCCACUGAAAUUAAUGCUGUUAUUCCACGUAUUUACAGAGGCAAGUCUCUAACAUGGUAAUUUAAAUCUUUAACAAAAUACCAGUUAAAAAUCUUUGAAUGAUGGCUCAUGGGAGGAAAAUAAGGAAAAGGCUCUAAGAUAACUGCUUUUGAAAUGUAGGAAAACAUAUGGCUGAGUUCCUGAUGUGUUAAACUGCAGGAGGCUGCAGGUGAGCAGUUG
rnacentral:lncRNA from 1 species